rnacentral:lncRNA from 1 species
GUAAGUGGGCUAUAAAAAGGUUUUAACUUAAUUGGUCAUUAUUGUAUUCCUUACUGAUGUUUACACAAGCCAAGCCAAGCCAAGCCUCAGUAAGUGCAGUUUCUCACCUUCCGCUGCUUCAGUGGUUCUGAGGGAGGCGGCCAGGAUUGAACUCACAACCCACCACAGCACAGCUGGCAGGCAGCAGAGCCAGGGUUCACAGCUAGGUCUCUGGGUCCCAGAGGCCAGGCAGUAAACAGUAGCCAUAAGUAGGCCGGGCUGAGGGCCGAGGGAAGAGUGGGAGCCCAGGGGCACCGUGGCGGCGGACACCAUUUCCUCCGGAGCUGCUUUUGGCUCCUCCGGCUCCCCCAUAGGCUACGUCACCUCAUGGGCUCCACAACUAUCCAGGCCGCCCGGAAGGGGCGCACAGCAGAGCUAAGGCUCACUUCCGCACGGAGGGGCACCUGGGACGCCUGUCCUGCUCAGACUCAAGAAAACCAGUCCUGCUGGAGAAUGUUAUAAAACACCCUCUGUGACAGCCGUGCCAAGCUGUGCCCUUGGGCACUCCACCACUGCCCAGCCCUGAAGGUCCCCCCGCAGGGAGGACCUCUCUGCAUGGACCUCCUUCCACUCCUGACCAAGCUAGUUUUUUGGAAGUUUGUGUAGAACCCUCAGAGAAGGAAUUAUUUUUUGGAUUUGAGUGAUAAAUUGAUGGUAAAGUCAAUAUUAAGGCACCAAACAUGUUGGAUUCAUACAGUGUUUGAUUCUCAUAUCUACACAAACCCCAGCACCCUGGUACUAUACCCCAGUAUUACAGGUAGGAAAACUUAGUUUUUGUUUUGAGACAGGGUCUCACCGUGUACUUCAGGCUGGCCUUGAACUAUGUACCUCAGGCUGGCCUCGAACUCACAGUGAUUCUCUUGCCUUGGCCUCCUCGGUGUGUGCCACCAUACACAGCUGAAAAUUGAAAUUUAAGCAACCCAAGUAGGCAGGUGUGGUGGAUGCCUGUAGCCUGCAAGUGUAGCACCCUGGGAGGCUGAGGCAGAAGUGCAAGUUUGAGCCCAACCAGGGCAACUUAG